rnacentral:rRNA from 1 species
AACGAACGUUGGCGGCGUGGAUUAGGCAUGCAAGUCGAGGGAAGCACGUAGCGUAGCAAUACGUCGCGUGACUGACCGGCGUAAGGGGCAGUAAUACGUGGGUAACGUACCCCUGGGUUCCGGAUAGUCAGUCGAAAGGCUGAGUAAUACGGAGCGAAGUCGCGAGAGGACAUCCUCAUGCGACCAAAGAUUUAUCGCCCAGGGAGCGGCUCACGUCGUAUUAGCUAGUUGGAGGGUGACGGCCUACCAAGGCUUAGAUGCGUAGCGGGUGUGAGAGCACGACCCGCGCCACUGGCACUGAGACACUGGCCAGACACCUACGGGUGGCUGCAGUCGAGGAUCUUCGGCAAUGUGCGCAAGCAUGACCGAGCGACGCCGCGUGUGGGAUGAAGGCCUUCGGUUGUAA